GUGAAAGAUAACUUUAUCAUUUUAAAAGCUACAUAGCUAAUUCUUAAUGCAGCUUUCUUUCAAUUUUAGAAACUUUUCCCAGUCAACAAGUGGACAGUGGAAAGAGACCACUGGUUUGGAAACAGAGGGGUUUCCAAGACAGCUGUACAGAAAUGACUGUGGCAUCUUCAUGUUGAUGCCAUGGCAAAAUGUUUGCCCACUGAAAAGACACUUCAAAGGCCAUCUUGCACGAUGAGGUGUCACCAGUCUUCAGACUGAAGAAGCGGAG